UUUGUCUACUUCUCUUAUCAAGUAUCUGACAAGAUACUUGUCAAGUUUUAGCUUACAGUUUGAGGGAUUGAUCCCAUCAGGACGGGAAAGGAUGGUGGCAGCAGCCUCUCACAGCUCGUCACAUUGUGAUCACAUAUAAGAAGCAGAGAGCACAGAGGAAGUAGGCCCAGGCUAUCAGACUUCAAGGCCCAUCCCCAACAAGUGACUUCCUCCAAUAGGCUUCUACCUCUUAAGGCACAAUGGGCCUGACUUGAAGCUCAUCACUGGACCACAGGCAACUUGCCAACAGCUACACCAUGGAAGCUGAUGUUCCUCUUCUUUCAGAACCCCCGACUGUCAGUAGUUCUCCUGGGAGGAGCCUUCCCCAUCUAUGAUUGUUGUUGAUAGGCUAACCACAUCAUACCCAUAAGACACUUUCAUAGCCCCGCCCCCACCUCCGCAAUAUGAUUCUUGUAUCUUUUGCCCUACUUCCCCAUAAUGUUCCUUGAAUCUUAGAGAAGAUUAUAUGGGUGUUCCAUAUAAGGUGCAACACUCAACAGUCACAGGUUCUCUGCACCUUGGCUGCCCAUAUGUUCAUAUUAACUGACACUUGCUGCAAAGAAAGCUUCUCUGACCAAGACUGAGAGCAAUACUACUCCAUGGGUGACUGCAUGCCAGCUUUGGCACAAUGGAAGUGGCCAGCAGAAAAGAAGCUUCCAGAUCAGUUCCAGGCUGAUUUUUGUAUUUUGUAACCAAGGACAAAGCCCACCCCUCUUGAUCUGUUGGAAAGAUCCCUGGUAUUUGAAUCCUGGAGUGAGUGUAUCCAUGAGAGCGAGCACUAUAGCAAUGGCCUUCAUGCCUGGCCUCUUCCUGUAGGUCUCUGAUGGCUAGAGACGCUGCUUUCAGAGGAGGCUUUAAUGACAGCCCAUUGUCAGCUGCUUCUCAUGCAGGGAUCAACUCUGGUAUAAAAAGGGAGCAAUUACAUAAAUGUGUGGAUACUAGAACAGAAGGCCCUUUAGAAGCCUUAGAGGACGCCACGCCUAAAUGGAAUAUUUCCUACAUGGUGUGAGCCGUGAGUAGAAGAUUGAGCCCAAGGCUGGAGACCUAGCCAGGUUUCCUGCUUGUUCAUACUGGAAGGAUCCAAAUUUCUGCAUUUCACCCCUGAAAGCCACAGCAGGUGGGUUGUUUCUUCUUGCUGUGAUAAAUGCUCAAGAAAACAGCCUAAAGCAGGGGACUUCGCUGACUGUUUCGGAUGGCUGAGUUUGUAACAGCGCGUGUGCUGAAGUAAAGCUGUUCCCUUCCGGGCUGCCGUGGUUUGAGUGUAAAAUAUCCUGCCCAGGGUCACGUUUAGACACUUGGCCCACAGCUGGUGGUGCUGAAUUGGAAGUCUGUGAAAUCUUUGAGGAGAUGGAGCCUCAUUAGAGGAGGUGGGUGACUAGCCCUAGUCGGGCUUGACGUUCUAUAUCCUGGUCCCACAUCUGUGCUAUCUGCUCACUGUUCCUGAUUGUGGACAACUUGUGAACAGAUGUCUCACACGCACGCGUAUUCUUCUGACUUGGUGGCCUGUACACCUUCUCAGACUGUAAACCAAAAGCAAGCCCUUCAUUCCUUAAGUCACUUUUUUUCAGGCAUAUUGCCACAGCC
rnacentral:lncRNA from 1 species